rnacentral:rRNA from 1 species
UGAGUACAAGAUGCUACGGCAUUGAAGCAGUCUAUGUCAUACUUCCAAGAAAAGCUUGCAAUGUCAUAAACAAAUAAUGCCUGUACCAUAACCGACACAGGUGGGUAGGUAGAGUAUACUAAGGGGCGCGAGAUAACUCUCUCUUAGGAACUCGGCAAAAUGACUCCGUAACUUCGGGAGAAGGAGUACCUUAUUUUAUAAGGUUGCAAUAACAAGGUCCAAGCAACUGUUUUACCAAAAACACAGGUCUCCGCUAAGUCGUAAGACGAUGUAUGGGGGCUGACGCCUGCCCAGUGCCAGAAGGUUAAAGAAGUUGGUUAGCAUUAGCGAAGCUGAUAACUGAAGCCCUGGUGAACGGCGGCCGUAACUAUAACGGUCCUAAGGUAGCGAAAUUCCUUGUCGGGUAAGUUCCGACCCGCACGAAAGGCGUAAUGAUUUGGAUACUGUCUCGGAGAGGGGCUCGGUGAAAUAGACUUGUCUGUGAAGAUGCGGACUACCUGCACCUGGACAGAAAGACCCUAUGAAGCUUUACUGUAACUUGAGAUUGAAAUUGGGCUUUAUUUGCGCAGUAUAGGUGGGAGACCUCGAAAGUAUUCUUGCGGGAAUAUUGGAGUCAUCAGUGAGAUACCACUCUUAUAAUGUUAGAUUUCUAACUUUGUAUCAUUAUCUGGUCAAAGAACAGUUUCAGGCGGGCAGUUUGACUGGGGCGGUCGCCUCCCAAAUGGUAACGGAGGCGCACAAAGGUUUCCUCUGAACGUGUAGAAAUCGUAUCUAGAGUGUAAAGGCAUAAGGAAGCUUGGCUGUGAGACCUACAAGUCGAGCAGGGACGAAAGUCGGUCUUAGUGAUCUGACGGUGCUGAGUGGAAAGGCCGUCACUCAACGGAUAAAAGUUACUCUAAGGAUAACAGGCUGAUCUCCCCCAAGAGUUCACAUCGACGGGGAGGUUUGGCACCUCGAUGUCGGCUCAUCGCAUCCUGGGGCGGUAGUACGUCCCAAGGGUUGGGCUGUUCGCCCAUGAAAGCGGUACGCGAGCUGGGUUCAGAACGUCGUGAGACAGUUCGGUCCAUAUCCGGUGUAGGCGUUAGAAUAUUGAGAGGAGCCUUCUUUAGUACGAGAGGACCGAGAAGGACAUACCUCUGGUGUACCAGUUAUCGUGCCAACGGUAAACGCUGGGUAGCUAUGUAUGGAGAGGAUAACCGCUGAAAGCAUCUAAGUGGGAAGCCCACCUCAAGAUAAGUGUUCUA